UGACACAUAAUUUAUCACAGGAACAGAGUCAUUCCUUUUAACAUGCACCACUUCACAGACUCUGACAGUCAGUUCCUGAGAAAAGACAUAAAGAAGACUGAAGCACGAUGGUUGAAUCAAGAUGGAUUAAAAUGUCUUUAUUUCUGAUGCUGCUGCUUCACUUUACAGUGACUGAACAACUCUACCCCCGUAUUGUUGUCAGAGUUGGAGAUGAAGUCACUUUGCCUUGUGACAAUGUGAGAGAUUAUCAGGACAAAUGUCAGCGUACUUCGUGGCUCUUUGUUGGUUCAGGAAACACAACGUCAAAACUUCUGAUUGACCGUGGACAGAUUGGUGAAAACAGCAACUCUAAAUCAGACAGACUGAGUGUUACAGCGAACUAUUCUCUGGUUAUAAAGGUCACAGCCGAGGAUGUUGGUCAAUACACCUGCAGACAGUUCAAUGAUACAGGACAUCAACAAGGUCCAGACUCUCACGUUGAUCUGUCUGUUAUUACCAUGACUGAACAUAAGGACUCUGAUAAGGUGACAUUAGGCUGCUCUGUGUUGACUGACAGAGGGUGUGAACACAGAGUGAAGUGGCUGAAUCAGGGUGAAGAUCUGGAUAAAGAUAAUGAAGACAGGGACACAUCAGAGCCUAAGUGCUCAGUUACUGUGACAUUUCCUACUUCUGAUCUUAACCUGAAGUCAGAGCAUCGUGAGUUGUUUAAGUGUGAAGUGACUGAUCUUUUUGUUCAACCAGAGCAGCAGUUUACCUUCAGCCUUCAGUCCUCAGCUCGUACAGAUUGGUCUGUUCUGAACUACAUAAUGUUGGUUAUGCGUGUGGCUGAACUCCUCCUAAUUACUGUGAUUACUGUUCUUCUCAUCAGAGCUCGAGGGAACCAGAGACCACCUGAUGACAUCACUGUGAAUAAUGAUGAAGAUGAAGACGAUGGUGUGGUGAAAUAUGAAAACUUUGGAGAAACUUCUGCCUCUGUCAGACUCCACUGAUCAACAACGUCCAUAUCAACGUCAACUCAUCAGAGAAACGAUGACAGCAGUUAAAUAACAUCAUAUUUAUAUUAUUUAUAUUUACAGGUUCAUUUUCAGUUUUGGAUGAUUUAAUGUUUGUGUUUUUAUGAAUCUAAUGUUUCUGUGCUUUGUGUGUUAAGCCAUUUCUAUUUCAGUCUGACUUUUGACAACCAUUUUCAAGUCGUAUCCAUGCUCUCAUUUAUUUAUUUUCUACAACCAUUUCAGAACACAGCAGCUGAAUUUCAACUUCAUUAAACAGAAAAGAUAAUUCAACUCUUGUUGACUUCCUUAAAUUGUCUUCCAGCUAAAGAGUUUAGAUUUACUGGGGCAUUUUUGAAGCUACAGUAGCUUGAGCUUUGAGUUUCAUGUCUCUGUGUGCAGAAGAACUCAUUUUAAU
rnacentral:lncRNA from 15 species